UUGAAGUACUGAUAGGUGAUCGCACCUUAUCAGUCAUCCAAAACUUCACCUAUCUGAAGUCGAAAGUCCUGUCGCGACAGACGAACCCGAGACUUGUAGAAAAUGUAUGGUCCCAGUACUCACAUACGCUUCUGAGACAAGGUCGCCGCAUUCGAGCGAAAAACAUACUCAUCAGGAUUUUUAGCACACGUUUUUGUCGAAGAACGAUCAUGAGCUCUACGAGUCGCACGGUCGUCUACAUGCACAGAGGAAGCGUUGGUAGUCCCGAACUGAGGGAUAGUGCAAAGAUAGUAAAGAGAUCUUGGCCAGCCAUUAUUUCACUUUCCCUGAUAAUUCCCUGCAUUAACUGAAUAGUCAGUUCGACGUACGGGGUAUCGAUCCGGACGGGAUUCGAUAUCCGGUCCUGCUGUGUGCAGUCCGGACCGCACCAAUUAAAAUAAACCAAUUAUUUUUUAACAUAAAA